UACGGAGGAUCCAAGCGUUAUCCGGAAUCAUUGGGUUUAAAGGGUCCGUAGGCGGCUUUAUAAGUCAGUGGUGAAAUCCGGCAGCUCAACUGUCGAAUUGCCAUUGAUACUGUAGGGCUUGAAUUUUUGUGAAGUAACCAGAAUAUGUAGUGUAGCGGUGAAAUGCUUAGAUAUUACAUGGAAUACCCAUUGCGAAGGCAGGUUACUAACAAACGAUUGACGCUGAUGGACGAAAGCGUGGGGAGCGAACAGG
rnacentral:rRNA from 1 species